rnacentral:rRNA from 1 species
CGCGUAGGCGGUAAUGUAAGUCAGACGUGAAAUCCUUCGGCUCAACUGAAGAACUGUGUCUGAAACUGCAUGACUAGAGUGCAGAAGAGGGAAACGGAAUUCCAGGUGUAGAGGUGAAAUUCGUAGAUAUCUGGAGGAACACCGGUGGCGAAGGCGGUUUCCUGGUCUGACACUGACGCUGAGGCGCGAAAGCGUGGGGAGCAAACAGGAUUAGAUACCCUGGUAGUCCACGCCGUAAACGGUGGGUACUGGGUGUGGGAGGUGUAAUGCCUUCUGUGCCGAAGCUAACGCGUUAAGUACCCCGCCUGGGGAGUACGGCCGCAAGGUUGAA